rnacentral:rRNA from 1 species
AGUGGACGCUGGCGGCGUGCCUAACACAUGCAAGUCAAACGAUGAUGGAGGAGCUUGCUCUUCCUGAUUAGUGGCGCACGGGUGAGUAAUGCAUAGAUAAUGUGCCCCUUAGUUCGGGAUAGCCACUGGAAACGGUGAUUAAUACCGGAUACUCCUUCUUAUCAUAAGAUAAGUCGGGAAAGUUUUUCGCUAAGGGAUCAGUCUAUGUUCCAUCAGUUAGUUGGUGAGGUAACGGCUCACCAAGACAAUGACGGAUAUCUGGUUUGAGAGGAUGAGCAGACACACUGGAACUGAGACACGGUCCAGACUCCUACGGGAGGCAGCAGUGAGGAAUAUUGCACAAUGGAGGAAGCUCUGAUGCAGCAACGCCGCGUGGAGGAUGACGCAUUUCGGUGUGUAAACUCCUUUUAUUAGGGAGGAUUAUGACGGUACCUAAUGAAUAAGCACCGGCUAACUCCGUGCCAGCCGCCGCCGUAA